rnacentral:lncRNA from 1 species
CCACGUGGCGUGAGAGCGAGAAGGAAUUCUACACUGUCACAUUUGCACUACAUCAUCAAUAACAAAUCAAUCACAUUUCUUCUUUUCAAACAAAAGUACAAUAAAAAUAUUUUUUUACAAUCAUGAUGGGACAUAUUUUUAAAAGAAUUAAUUUGAUUGGCUUGUUACGCCAUGUCACUAUUAUACCCGUUGCAUUCUAGAAUUUUUCGAGAGC